UGGAUAAAUACAAUAUUGAAAAAGUUUACAAUCUGAUAAAACUGAGGAAAGAACUCAAACUACAUGACUGAAUCUGACUGACGUCUAUGAAUCCUCUACUAUACUGACUAUAGAUAGCUGGGACAUGCCUCCAACCACUGCUAAUUAAUACAUAUGAAUAAUAAAAAUAAAAUACAUGAACAACAUCUAACUGGAGUCCUCGAAAUAGGAGAACUCAUCACCUGCUAGCUGGAAACUGCAACUGUCUGAUCAUGAUGUACAGGCUACAACUAGUACCUACAUUAUGAAACAAUGUAGUCACAUAGACGCAUAUAUGGAUCAGUACUUCUAGAAUGUUCUGAGUAAAUGGGGGUGAACGCCAUACGUAAAAAUGAAUAGGUACAUCAUCUUAAAACAUGCAUGCUAAGUGCAAGUAGACUCAUCAAGACACUGAAAUCAACUAAAAUCUUAAGUAGCUUAAAUCAUAAGUAACGAACAUAAUCUAAUAAGUUGGUGAAUCAUUACACUUAGUUUCUUAAAACUUUGAUCUUGCAGAAUAAGUAAGACUGAAGCUGGGAUAUGGUAAAACAUGAAUACAUGAACAUACAAAACCAAACAUACAUAUACUGAGCAGAUCUGAUUAACUAAAUAAUUGAUGCAUGGAUGAUGGAAUGAUUGAAAUAUAAGUAAAGAGAUAACUAAUAUGUAUAUACUGAGUAGCUGAUAUAUGAAUAUGGACUACCAAUAUCCAAACACUGAAUAGCUAAUGACUAAAUACUGAACGACUGAUAUCUUAAUACUGAUUAUGUAAAAUUGAACUAUACUUAGUUGAAACAAUUGGACUAAAACCGUGGACUACUGUCCAUAUGAGAUAAGGACUGACUGAACCAUAUGAAAUAGUUGAGCAUGAAUGCAUGAAAACUGUAACAUCUGAGAAUGCAAAACCAAGUAUAAUCAUAUUUCUGAAAUAAUCUGCAAACUAAAAUACUGAAAUAUGAUAACUGAAUAACUAAGAAUCGGUAUGCUUUGUUCAAGAAAACCUUAACUGAAACUACACUAAAUAUUGUACUGAGAUUGUGGGAGGUAUUAUCUAACCGACAUACCCCAAUCUAAGCUAAUCAGGGUCUAACCUGUAACCCCAGUUGGAAGGAUGUCAGUACCGUGCCACGGGUAUUAACACUGGUUGUGAAUCACCCUAUCCUGGCAUAAGUGCUCAUGAGAUAUGUGUCAACCCUAAAUUGGCAGGAAAACAUCUCAAACCUACGUUAUCCACGUAGUUCUGUAACUCAGGGAUUGCUACUAAGGGUUAAAUCUUAAACUGGCAGGAAUACCCCUAUCCCUGGAUUUGAUCGAUACGAAAUCUUACUACUAACUGGAAGACAUUGAAAUACUGACUAGUGCAUGCACUGAUAACUGAUAAGCUCAGGUCAUGGUAUUUUGAAAACAACAGUGCAUACAGAUUUUAAUGUAAUUGAAAACAUGUAAAGUGAUAAUGCUCAAUAUGCUCAUAACAAAUUGAGUUUAAAAAUAAAAUCAUGAGUUGACUGACUCAUUACUUGAAAGGUCUGAAAUCCUAUAAAAACAUAUAGGUAUCGGGGGUUCAUAACCCGCCAACACUGAAUGACCAUAAAGCACGAUCUCAAUACUUAAAACUAUAGUAUGGGAAUCAUGUUUCAAAGACCCAAAACAUGAGCAUUCCCACCAAAUAUAUGAGAAUCCUGAACUUGAAUGUGGGGUCUGCUUUAAACAUGAGGAAAUGGCAUGAUUACAUGACUAAAAUCAUAAAUUAGGGAUUUAACAUGGAAUUCACUUGAAAUAGUACAUGGAAAACUAAAAUUCAUAGCAUGAGAAAGUCAAAUCUUGUAUGGAGUCAUACAUGGGCUAAAUUUAAUUUAAAUCACCAUGAAAACAUGAAAUUCAAUCUUUCUUGAACAUUCCAAAUACCAUAAUGAUAGAAAAUUCAUUAUCUAAUUGAAAGAAAACGGUUUUUGAACUCUGUGGGUGGAAGGGGGCCCAUGGUGAACUCCCACAUACCUUAAUUUCUUGAUUUCAUGAUGAAAGCUUGAAAUUGAACUUGAAUUUCUUGAAGAAGAAAUCUUGAAUUUCUUGCUCUUGAAAAGAAACCCUAAUCUUAUUGUUCUUGAGAUUCUUGAUGAUGGGAGAAAGAAAAACGUGUUAAGGGACAGCGGAUGGGGGAAAAAUAACACCAUCUUAUGUUUUUAAGUCAUGGGGGUAGGGUUUGAGGUGAGGAAAAGACCAAGAAAAAUGUGUUAAGGGACAGCAGAUGAGGGAAAAAUAACACCAUCUUAUGUUUUUAAGUCAUGGGGGUAGGGUUUGAGGUGAGGAAAAGACCAAAAUACCCUUCUGAAGCUAAAUAAAAAUUGAUGGAAUUUUCUUUAGUUGAUGACUUGGUUGAUGGCAUGUCAAUUGGUUGACAGCCUAUCAGCCUAAUCGUCAACUCACUUUCAUGUUCUGGUUAUGGGUGACGACUUGGCUGAUGGCUUGUCAACUGGUUGACAGCCUAUCAGCCUAGUCGUCAACUCCUUCAGAAUUACUGCCUAAGGUUGACGACUUUGGCUAAUGGCUUGUCAACUAGUUAACAGCUUACCAGCCUAGUCGUCACUUUGAAGAAAGAUGGAUAUGCUGAGGAAAAAUGGUCAUAACUUCCCACUCUGAUAUCGAAUUAAGGUGAAACUAGUUGCAUUGGAAAGAAAACUCAAAGAUCAUUUGAUAUAUAAUAGGACACCUGAAUCAAUAUUUGUAUUAUAUAGAAGAGGUGGUUUCAACCACCUCUGAUGUAAUUACCAAAAUACCCCUCUACUCUCACUUAAU
rnacentral:lncRNA from 1 species